rnacentral:piRNA from 1 species
AAGAGCGUUCUGUUUGGUUGUCAGUG